rnacentral:rRNA from 1 species
GUGGGGAAUAUUGGACAAUGGGCGCAAGCCUGAUCCAGCCAUGCCGCGUGAGUGAUGAAGGCCCUAGGGUUGUAAAGCUCUUUCAGUGGGGACGAUAAUGACGGUACCCACAGAAGAAGCCCCGGCUAACUUCGUGCCAGCAGCCGCGGUAAUACGAAGGGGGCUAGCGUUGUUCGGAUUUACUGGGCGUAAAGCGCACGUAGGCGGAUCGUUACGUCGAGGGUGAAAUCCUGGAGCUCAACUCCAGAACUGCCUUCGAUACUGGCGAUCUUGAGUCCGGAAGAGGUGAGUGGAACUCCUAGUGUGGAGGUGGAAUUCGUAGAUAUUAGGAAGAACACCAGUGGCGAAGGCGGCUCACUGGUCCGGUACUGACGCUGAGGUGCGAAAGCGUGGGGAGCAAACAGGAUUAGAAACCCGUGUAGUCC